rnacentral:rRNA from 1 species
UGGAUUCGCUAGUAAUCGCGCAUCAGCCAUGGCGCGGUGAAUACGUUCCCGGGCCUUGUACACACCGCCCGUCAAGCCAUGGGAGCCGGGGGUGCUUGAAGUGCGUCGCCGUGAGGCGCGCCCUAGAGCAAAACCGGUGACUGGGGCUAAGUCGUAACAAGGUAAC